UAGACAUUUAAGUGAUUGCCUCAUUUUUCUCUAUUAUAAAAAAUGCAAUAAAUACUUUUAUACACUUGGGUUGGUGUUUCUGUUGAAUAAGUUCCUUAGAAGUAAAAUUUCAGUAAGUUCUUAACUGAUUUGACCACCUCUGCUUUCUAUCCUCUCAAAUCUUUCUCAUUCCUUCUAGAUUUGUCACCAUGGAGCAUGGCUCUGAUCCCACCACUUCCCUGCUCUGGACUCCCCAGGACUUUUGGAUAAAGCAGCAGCAUCCGUGUCUCUCUUCCUAUGCCCCAGGAAAUUGGACUGGUGAUGAACACUUGAUCUAUGGACAAGCAAUCUUGAAGCUAAUCAGUAAACUAUGGUCUAUUUUCUAAAUAAAAAAUGAGAUAAACCGAUCAGAUUCUCCUUCAGAAUUUGGAAUUGAGAAGUGUGAGGCUGAGAUGUUGUUUGGAAGGCAAAAAGAUGCUGUGUGAGAGCAUCAGAAUGCAUAAAAAAUGUAGAGUGGAGUCAUGUAUUGGAGGCUGGUCCCCAAAGGCAGCUCAUGUUACAGGCAGUCAAAUUUACCUUUGAAAAUCCCUCACAAAGGUGCCACUCUGGGGACAGCAUACUGUUUCUUGGUAAAACACUGUAUGAUUUUUCCAUGGCUUUGGAACAGAUUGUUGCUUCUUUGGUAGAGCACCAGAUGAAGUAGUUGGCUUGCAUUUAGAGGCCAUGUUUUGCUGAAAAUAUAUAUCUUUAAAUACUAGAAUUACACUUGGUGCAGUGAAAUGAUCACACUAUGCGAGACACCUGGAAGCUGAAACCAACUGAGAGAACAUCAGUUUCAGGACACCCAGCUUAUACUCACUCUGCGGAGUUGUGUGAAGCCCUGAGAGUCCAUGCCUAUCCUUCCAGUCAACUCCUUUCCUCAAGAUAAGCUGAUUGGGUCUCUGUUCAUUACAGCUGAAAUUAUCGAGACAGACACUGUGUACUGCAAGGAAACAUCAGACGCCAGAAGAGAAAACAGGAGAGCUGCCACGAAAAGGAUGGCAAAUCUGGGCUGCCUUUUGCAACAUCUGUUGGGAGUCGACAAACUGCCUGGUGAUGGGCAGCCUGGAUUAUACUGAUCAGCUGCAGUGCCAGCUCCUGACCAUGGGGAGAUUGGUUUCCAGGUCUGCUGGGCUGGUGCCGAGAACAUAGAAAAUUCUUGGAGCAGGAGAAGGCAAAUAGUUUUGGAUGUGCUUGGCAAUAAAAGAGAUCUUUGUAGAAACCUUAGCUUUCUU
rnacentral:lncRNA from 1 species